UAAGCAGUUUCAAUUUUAUCGUACAUCACGUCUUUUGUUAUGUUAAUUUCAAUUACUUUAAAUUUCUGGUCGAGUGAUCAUUUACCACGUGCGAUUUGUUAAAGGGAUGUGUAGUUCAUUCAUAAAUAAAAUGGAUUAAUGAUUUUGAUUCCCAAUAAGGAUUAAUUUCAAAGAUAUGAACUGUUGCAAUGACCUUAGAAAAGAAACCUGCACAACUGGGCGAGGACCUGCUGAAGGCUGCCGGCUACGGAGAUAGACACACAUUAGAAAGAUGCUUAGAUGGAGGAGCAAAUAUUAAUUAUCAAAAUGUUAAUGGAGGGACUGCGCUUUACUAUGCUGCAUUGAAUAGAAACAUAGAUAUCGUCAGGUUGCUAAUUGAUGGUGGUAUAAACCUCAAUUUACA